rfam:TPA: Bos taurus chromosome 12, whole genome shotgun sequence.
UCCUUGGUAGUUCAGAUGGUAAAAAAUCCACCUGCCAUGUGGGAGACUUAGGUUCGAUCCCUGGCUUGGGAA